rnacentral:RNase_P_RNA from 5 species
GGAUGGGUGCUUAACUCUCGCAGCUUGUGAGGAAAGUCCGCCCACAGCAAGAGGCCACUCCUGUAAGGGAGUUCCAGAAAUGGAAGGCAACCACUCAGAAACGACACGGCCGCCAGAACAGGGAUGAUAAGGCGAAGUCUCAAGCGAUUGAGGCGAGUUAACCCUUUGACGUCUCUGGCGGAUGCGAUGAAACGGUGAGCCCUGGCUUGUGCAAGUCAUAGCACGCUUAGUUUAAUGUUAAGAUGGCCGUCAGCAUUUGCUGGGCCUUACAGAAGGCGGCUUAUGCCCAUCC